UGGAACUCCCAACCUCAGGUGAUCUGUCCACCUUGGCCUCCCAAAGUGCUGGGAUUACAGGCGUGAGCCACCGCGCCCGGCCUUUUUUUUUUUUUUUUUUGGCUUCAGUCAAAGUUAUGUUUUCUAUCUCUCGCAGUCACGAGUUCUGACUAAUUCUGUGGGGGAAAGACCAACAGACAGGAGCCAGCUGAAGAUGCUGAACCUCUGAUGUCUUCACUUAUUGCCCAAUUCCUCCUUGAGCCACCCUCCUCUGACUUAAAUGUACUGUCAUGCCAUUUGGCCCUAAGAUAUUUCUACUUAACGUGUGAGUUAAUCAGAUCCCUUGUCUAGCUUAUAAAUUUCUAGAAUCAUAUAGCCAAAAGGAGGCUGACAGAUCUGGCCCAAAGUUACACCCACUGCAGGAACUGCCCUAUGAUUUCUUCUUGAACACUUCCAGAAGCUGAACCUCUCCUUGUUUGUCUCUUCCAGAAUUGAAACUGUAAAACUACAAAUGGUUCUUCAAAUGGAGCCCCAGAUGCAGUCCAUGACUAAGAUCCACCACAGACCCCUGGACCAGCCUGCUAGCCCAUGCUCCGAUGUUAAUGACAUCGAAGGCACCCCCCCCGAGGAAAUCUCAACUGUGCAACCCCUACUAUGCCCCAAUUCAGCAGGAAGCAGUUACAGCGGUCAUCAGCCAACCUCCCCAACAGCACUUGGGUUUUCCUGUUGAGAGGGGGCACUGAGAGACAAGACUAGCUGGAUUUCCUAGGCCGACUAAGAAUCCCUAAGCGUAGCUGGGAAGGUGACUGCAUCCACCUUUAAACAUGGGGCUUGCCACUUAGCUCACACCCAACCAAUCAGAGAGCUCACUAAAAUGCUAAUUAGGCAAAAACAGGAGGUAAAGAAAUAGCCAAUCACCUUUUGCCUGAGAGCACAGCAGGAGGGACAAGGAUCGGGAUAUAAACCCGGGCAUUCAAGCCGGCAAUGGCAACCCCCUUUGGGUCCCCUCCCUUUGUAUGGGAGCUCUGUUUUCACUCUAUUAAAUCUUGCAACUGCACUCUUCUGGUCCAUGUUUGUUACGGCUCGAGCUGAGCUUUCGCUCCCCGUCCACCACUGCUGUUUGCCACUGUCGCAGACCUGCCGCUGACUCCCAUCCUGCUGCUGACUCCCAUCCCUCCAGAUCCGGCAGGGUGUCUGCUGUGCUCCUGACCCAGUGAGACUCCCAUUGCCACUCCCGAUCGUGCUAAAGGCUUCCCAUUGUUCUUGCACGGCUAAGUGCCUGGGUUCGUCCUAAUCGAGCUGAACACUAGUCACUGGGUUCCACAGUUCUCUUCCGUGACCCACGGCUUCUAAUAGAGCUAUAACACUCAUCGCAUGGCCCAAGAUUCCAUUCCUUGGAAUCCGUGAGGCCAAGAACCCCAAGUCAGAGAACACAAGGCUUGCCACC
rnacentral:lncRNA from 1 species